CCUACGGGGGGCUGCAGUGAGGAAUAUUGGUCAAUGGGCGCGAGCCUGAACCAGCCAAGUCGCGUGAGGGAUGAAGGUUCUAUGGAUCGUAAACCUCUUUUAUAAGGGAAUAAAGUGUGGGACGUGUCCUAUUUUGUAUGUACCUUAUGAAUAAGGAUCGGCUAACUCCGUGCCAGCAGCCGGGGUAAUACGGAGGGUCCGAGCGUUAUCCGGAUUUAUUGGGUUUAAGGGGUGCGUAGGCGGCCUUUUAAGUCAGCGGUGAAAGUUUGUGGCUCAACCAUAGAAUUGCCGUUGAAACUGGUGUGCUUGAGUAUGUUUGAGGCAGGCGGAAUGCGUGGUGUAGCGGUGAAAUGCUUAGAUAUCACGCAGAACCCCGAUUGCGAAGGCAGCCUGCCAAGCCAUGACUGACGCUGAUGCACGAAAGCGUGGGGAUCAAACAGGAUUAGAUACCCUAGUAGUC
rnacentral:rRNA from 1 species